CUGGGAACUGGAAUGAACUGGUCUGCGCGGCCUGGUGAAACUGGUUUGGCCACUAAUCCAACAGUGACUUCCCGAUAAGGGCAAAUAAAAAGCGGCGCACUGGACGGUGCCCGCCCAGUAGGGAGCGCUCCUGAACCCCGCAUGGCGCCGCCCAGAGGAACGAAUCAAACGCACCUCGGCGCUCGGCCCUGGCCACGGAUUGUGAAAUCCAGGUAAACCCGGGCAGGUAUUGUGUUGCACUGCAUUGUCACUGAUGGCAAUAGUGGUACAUUGUGAUGCGAUGUUGGGGCAGAAAGUGCUGUCCACAGUUACUGUUGUCUGAGCGUUUUCCAGGUCACCCUGCCGGGACACACGGCCCUGCUGCUGUGAGAGGAGCAGGACACAAAGGAGGUCGGUCUGCACGUGACUGGCACAAGGUGACCUUUAUGACCACUGGUUAUCUUAACUGUUUGUAAGAAGAGUAAACUCCAGAUAAUGUGUCAUAAUCCUGGCGACAUUUUUAAUUCAUGUAAUGCUAAAAUUAGUUUGAAACUGUAUUUAAAGUGGUGAAAAUGUAUGAUCCUAAGUGUGGAGUUUAAAGGAUGACAGUGUUCAAUAAAUGUGCUUUAAUUGAGAAA